ACGGAAGGCAGCAGUGGGGAAUAUUGCACAAUGGGCGAAAGCCUGAUGCAGCGACGCCGCGUGAGUGAAGAAGUAUUUCGGUAUGUAAAGCUCUAUCAGCAGGGAAGAAAAAUGACGGUACCUGACCAAGAAGCACCGGCUAAAUACGUGCCAGCAGCCGCGGUAAUACGUAUGGUGCAAGCGUUAUCCGGAUUUACUGGGUGUAAAGGGAGCGCAGGCGGUACGGCAAGUCUGAUGUGAAAGCCCGGGGCUCAACCCCGGUACUGCAUUGGAAACUGUCGAACUAGAGUGUCGGAGGGGUAAGCGGAAUUCCUAGUGUAGCGGUGAAAUGCGUAGAUAUUAGGAGGAACACCAGUGGCGAAGGCGGCUUACUGGACGAUAACUGACGCUGAGGCUCGAAAGCGUGGGGAGCAAACAGGAUUAGAUACCCUGGUA
rnacentral:rRNA from 1 species